rnacentral:rRNA from 1 species
UACGUAGGGUGCAAGCGUUGUCCGGAUUUAUUGGGUUUAAAGGGUGCGUAGGCGGCCCUGUAAGUCAGUGGUGAAAUACUCUAGCUUAACUAGAGGGGUGCCAAUGAUACUGCAGGGCUUGAGUACAGAUGAGGUAGGCGGAAUGUGACAAGUAGCGGUGAAAUGCAUAGAUAUGUCACAGAACACCAAUUGCGAAGGCAGCUUACUAUGGUGCAAUUGACGCUGAGGCACGAAAGCGUGGGGAUCAAACAGG